ensembl:lncRNA
UUCCUUUUUUUACUUCAUUUGCAUUUCCCACCUCAGGCAUGGCUGAGCCUCUUCGCUGUUCUGGGCUCCUCUCCUGGAUUGGGUGGGUUUCAGGUCAUUUUGUGUGUGUGGCUGGCAGCACAGAACCACACCUCAGCUGAGAUAAAUGUGUGUGCUGGCAGAUUCACAUGUCCCCACUGAUAGCAAGGGUGGGAUUUCUGCUCUGCAAGCAUCAAGUGUGGUGUUUGAAAUACCUUUCAAAUUCAUGCUUGCCUUUGAAAAUACCUUGUAGUUUGAGGCAAGGAAAAGAAAUAGGAUUAGGGUAUUGUGUUUAAGCAAGAGCAAAACUGAAGAUACACUGUUGUGCUUUCCAGCUGAAUUGAUACUUUAGGAGAACGAGAAUAUUGGCUCAUUGUAAGAUGUCAUGUGUGUACAAUGUGCUUGUUCGUGGUACUGUGGACCAAAGAUCAUGAUAGAGGGGGGAAAAAAACAAGUUUUGGGCUCUGCUUUGAAAAUGUUACAAGACGAUACAGAUGCAGUUACAGAACAUCAGAUGUUUCUUGUAUUAUUUUAAGUGCAGAUUAUAACAACUAAAUAAUCUGGGGUUGAUUUUUUUAUUACUCUUUUUUUGAUCAGUAUCUGAACCAUUUCUAAAAAAAAAAAACAUUGAUAAGAUUUGCAGACGCUUUGGAUUUUCCAAAGCUUUUUUGCAAUUUUUUUUUCUGUGUGCUUGAAACCAUACUAGAAAGAUUGAUAAUUUUAAAUAAUUGUUGUGAAUUCUUAAGUGGUCUCUUCUCCCUCCACUCAGGUGAAGCACUGCAGUGUUACACCUGUGUAGGUUCUAGUGAUGAGGACUGCAACAGACAAGGAAGUCAGCAGUGUCCAGGCCAUGCAGAUGCCUGUGCAGUCAUUAGAGGACAAGCAAGUGGCAUCAUGAAGUCCUGCUCGUUCAGGUCCUUCUGCGAGCGGGCCAGGCGGGACGGAGCGCGGGCGCCCGGCGUGAGCGUGCACUGCUGCUACUCCAACAACUGCAACGCCAAGAGCCUGGCCCCCAGGGGCACCAGCUCCAGCCUCGCCCUCCUCAUCCUCACUCUGCUCUGGCACCCCUUCCUGAAGCUGACAUGAAGGGGGAAAAAGAAAACAACAACUCUGCCUUCGUAGCAAGGGAUGAUAAUAUUUCCUAAUCACAUCGCUCCGUGUACCAUAUAUCUCACUAGGCAAAAAGCUGUAGGAAGACCUGACAGAUGUUUAGAUAAAAAUUGUUUUAUCUGCUAAAUAGGUCUUGAUCUCUAUGUAAGAAACGCUGCCCUGUUGCUUAUCCUGAGGGGUUGAUUGUGAAAGUACGUAACAUUUUCCUGCCAUUUGGAUAAGGAGAAAUUUUUGCUGCAGGUAACCUGGUAGUAAGGUAAAGGGCAAAUGUCUGCCAAAUACUUCUUACUGUUGGCAGAUAUUCAAAAGCAAGCUUUUGAAUUUUCAAGCUUUGAAAUUUUCAAGCACAAAGUGACUGAAAAUUCUAACAAGUGAGUUAAUCUUUCAGAGUAUAUUGGCAUACUGCACAAAAGGAAACUUGAAAUACAGAUGAUUUUGUAUUAAUACAAACUGAUAAGAGAAAAUCCUUAAGAGAAUAAUAAUGCAUGGAAGUAUAUUCUGCUGUAUAUGAUAUGUUCCUAGCAGGGGGGCUGGAUGGUCUUUUAAGUCCCUUCCAACUCAAACCAUUCAAUGGUUCCAUGUGUGUAUUUCCUUGGAAAAAACACCUUCCAGUCUUCUCUUUUCUGAUCCUUUGAGAAUUUUACCACAGCAUCAGAAGAAGAAGAAAAAAGAAGAGCUUGGAAGUUGUUUUUGAACUGGUAUUCCAUCCAAAGAUUGGCUUAAUCUAUCUCCCUUGCUGGUUUUAAAAACAACUGAUUAAUCCAUGUCUUAUAGGCAAAUCAUAACUUGAGUAUAAUUCUUGAGGUUUCAGUUAUGUAAAUUAUUCUCCACUGCCCUAAAUUGCAGUCUUUGAGAGUAAGAAUGUAUAUAUCUGUACAUGUCUCCCCCUUCAGUGAUGUGAUUGAGUUGAGGUGGUUUAUGUAUCCUUUUCAUUAUGCAAAGUGAAUGAAAUUACUUGGAUGUCUUUAGAGGUGUAAAGAGAGACUAAAUCAAUAUUUUUAAUAAACCCAUUCAUGGCAAGUUUACCAAGUAAAUGAUCCAGAAGGGAUCACUUAGUAGAAGGCAUUGUGCAUCACUGCCUCCUUUGAUCCCAAACUCAGAGCACCAGGCAAGCAGGUGAGUGAUAUUUGUAGAUUUUAAUGUCCAGCUGUGAUGAUCUGGUCCAGCCCCUGGCACACAGCGUGCACAGGAUUGGCUGAAAGUCCAGCUGCUGUAACUGAAGUAGAGGUGGUUGUUCCAAUUCUAGUUUUAGUUGCCUGGUAGGAGAAAGGUUAGGUCAUCAAAUCUAUGGAACUCACAAAAUACGUGGCAAAGUAGUUUCCCCCUAGCUUUGUGUUGUGACUUUUUUCAGUAUAAUUCUUUGAAAAAUCAGUUCUGGGCAGUGUGUAGUGGAAUUCUUCACACUGACCAAAAUUUUAUUCAGGCUGCAAACUCUGGAGCUGCUGCAAGGUCAAUCAGUGAGCCCUCCCUGCAGAGUGUGACCCUUGCCUGCCUUGUAGCUGUCACAGGGGCUGAGCUGUCUCCUUCUUUUACUGUGCUCUUUCCCCAGUGUGGAUCCUUCCAUCAUCUCAUGUAGGUUGUGGCUUCAGCCUGGCUGGAUUCUCCCUGUUCAGGUGGGCUCAGACAAGGCAGUUUGGUCUAUUUUUAGUCUCUAGGCACCAGUCUGAUAAAGCUGUUGGAUAGAAAGAUUGCAACAAUGCAGCAGCUCUUGGCUGAGAAUGUUAAUUUGGACUCCAGCGUCUCAUUGGUAUAAAAAUCACUUAAAUUGUUGUAAGUAUUUUUCAUUUCAUUCUCAGCUUGAAGCAGUUCCUUCAAUCUCUUCUGCUACAGGAAGCAGGUAUUGAUUGUAUCUUUAUCUUCACAUGGUUCUGUAAUGAUAAAUUUGUAUUGAAUGUAAUCUCUGUAUGUGCUCAGUGCAUUUCCUUAAUGAGAAAAUAAAUUACAUGCAAUGGCUGACAUUGUCUCUUGGUAAACACAACUGCUUCUUUUAAUUGGGA